UUUGACAUAUGGGUUUUAAAUAAGAAUAAAAAUAGUCAUGAUGCGAUUUGGAGUAAAGAGUUCAGUAAUAUCAAUGGCAAACCAUUCUCCUUUACAAAGAGUGGUGGGCUUCUAUGUUACGAUCAUCGUGAAAGAAAUGUCUAUCCUUACGCUCCAAAAGCUUCAUCUUCAAGAAUGCUUGGGAAUGUUGGAAAGAAUUUUAAAUCUGGAGUCCCUCACAAGAACACCUUAGUGUCACUGAAAGCAUUAGGGGAAGAAGAUACGAAACUUAUGGAUUCAAGUGAAAGAGUAACAUCUUGUGGGGAACAAGAAACCAGUGAUCUUUCUCCAACAGAAAACAAGGAAGAAAUAGAUCUCUAAACGAAGAUAUAGCGGUCUUUGCUGGCUACUUCCAGGAAAGUGGAGUAAUAUCUUGGUGGAAAGUCAAGCGCAACACUUAGAGAUUUCUAUGCCACAGUGCAAUCAGUCUUACAACCGGGAGAGAGGGGAUCCUGGGUUUCUGCACGAUUAAAAGGGCCAAUUAAUAUCGAUGGUAAUGGGAAAACAUCCCUUCCGUCAACUUUUCCGUUUUUUCCUUUCAAGGUUUGCAACUUUUGUAUAUUAGGCUAUGUCACCAUUAGCAAUACUUGCCAAUGUAUGUCUCCUAAGAGAAGGUUCAGUUUGGGGUCCCCAAGAACACGGCUUAUCCCCCUUAAUCUUUAGAAAAGUAGCAUCCAUAGUUGCAGAAUCUAUUUGGUUCCAAAUUGUGCUAGGUUACUGAGUUUAGUCAAGUACUUCUUUCGUGAUCAACUAUCUGUAUGUAUAAAUGGUGAUUGUAGCUUUUAGUAAUAGUAACUCAAUAAGUUUAGCUGAAUAAGAUGCUUUCAUGUGUUCUCUGGCUGUUGGUGAAAUACAAUGAAGCUUAGUAUUGUGUUGGAAUACUUUAUGUUGAUUUUAAGGGAACAAGGAAGUUAAGUUCUACUACAAUGUUCUAUGACUGUACAACUGGGAUUAUGCAGCACAAUCAAAUAUUCAGUAGCUAACUCUAAUGGAGGUAAUGGAAUGAAUGGCUUUGUUAGAAAGAAUAAGGAAAGAAUGGGUUUGUUCAAAGGGGUAUUGGGUUUAUAUAGACAGUGCUGAAGCAAUCUAAAUAUGGAAUUUCAAAGGAAAGAGCGGUCCUGGUGAUGCAUGGAAAGUCUCUUGUGAAAGUGAUGGAAGCAAAGAAGUAAACUGGAGAAAGCCAAUAUUAUGUAUGCAAAAAUAGGGAAGUUUCCUGCAGAUGUUUUUGGAGUUAUUAGUCUACCAAAUUGCGUUUUC